UGACCUUGAGUCAGGCUUAUUGUUUACUAGUUCUGAAAAUUUCUGAUGAGAAGAAUCUCCUGGGUGCCUGUGAUAGAGAGUCCCACGGCCUGCCCUAGGACAGAACUCCAGGGAGGGCGCCGGGUGAUCUGGGGUCUGAUGAGCUGCCCAGGAACUCCUGUCAUCUGGGAAGUUUGGGGAGCCUGGGGCAAGCUUUCAGGGGACCCAAGCAAGCUUCUUCAAGCCACGUCCCUGGAUUCCUGGGCUGCGCAGCUCUUGUACUGAUGCUUCAAACUCUGGGCUGAUGGGAGCAAUGUCCAUACUGUGGAGACUUCAGGACAAGAUCGGAUGGCACUCAGUUUUUAUUGUGCAAAUUGUAAUCAUAAGAGAAAGAAGACACUAUAUACCUGGACUCUUAAUAGAAAAACGUCACUAAAACUAUGCGUCCUCACGCAGACCCGCGAACCCCGAGGAAGGCGGCCGCUCCCCAAGCAGGGGACAGUGCACCUCAGCAGGGCCGAGUUGCUCUGCACGAGACAUUUUCUCCACCAGCUGACGUUUUCUCCACAGUUCAACGCAACUGGUGAACUGUAUCCGAGUGACAAGGCGGGAAGGAGGCGUUGCUUUGUGGCAUGGUGA
rnacentral:lncRNA from 1 species